rnacentral:rRNA from 1 species
UACGUAGGGUGCGAGCGUUAAUCGGAAUUACUGGGCGUAAAGCGUGCGCAGGCGGUGAUGUAAGACAGUUGUGAAAUCCCCGGGCUCAACCUGGGAAUUGCAUCUGUGACUGCAUCGCUAGAGUACGGUAGAGGGGGAUGGAAUUCCGCGUGUAGCGGUGAAAUGCGUAGAUAUGCGGAGGAACACCGAUGGCGAAGGCAAUCCCCUGGACCUGUACUGACGCUCAUGCACGAAAGCGUGGGGAGCAAACAGG